AGAUUUUAAGUUAAAAAAACUAUAUACCUUCAAAGUAUAAAUUAAAUAAUCAAAUUUAAAUCUU
rnacentral:tRNA from 1 species